rnacentral:lncRNA from 1 species
CAAAUAAGUAAAAGUGAUUAGUAAUCUCUAAAGGAGAAAAACAAAGCUGAGCCAGGUGGUGCACACCUUUAAUCCCAGUACUCAGGAGGCAGAGGCAGGUGGAUCUCUGUGAGUUCAAGGACAGUCAGUGCAACACAGAGAAACAUUAUCACCAAACAAAAAACAAAACAAAAAACUGGCCACAAUGGCUUUCAUCUCUAUCUCAGGACUUCCAUGGCAAGAUGGGAGGUGGAGACGAGAGACUCACCCAGAAGGUGGCAGGUGGGCUGCCUGGUGCUUAUAAUGAAGCUGCAGGGAACAAUGUGGUCCUGCCUUGAAAAGAGAGGAUAAGAACUGCCUCUGACUUCCACAGUGUAUGUAUGCACAUGGAACACACACAGAAAAGGACAUAAAAGGGCAAUCAUCAACUCUCCAUGUCUGUGUUUGCUUUUCCCUUUGGUCAGGAUCCCAUUCUAAUUGGGCAUGAAUGAUAAACACUGUCAAGUACGUUUUUCCAUCACACCUCAUUUUUAGAUAUGGGAAAGUGUUAGAAAGCAACAAUAUUGUUACCGGCGCCAAUAAAUAAAUGAUUUACAAAAACUAGAUGGCACAGGCAGCAGGUGAGAUGGCUCAGUGGGUAAAAGUGCCUGAAAACCGGAGUUUGAAUCCUAGGACUCACUUGACGGAUGAUGAGAAUCAACUCUUCUAUAUGUUCCAUGGCCUGUACAUGUGAGCGCUCAUUGAGUGUAAGGUUCCUGCACUCUGGUUAACUGAAGGCACGAAGACAGUACAAUAUGGUACAGUUACCUAGAGGAAAGCCUCCUGAGUAAGUACUGGAGAGUGACAAUCAAGACAAUGGGUGUGGCAGGCUGUGAUGUCAGAGAAGUGACAGCUCUCGGGCCACUGAAAGCCUGGUUUGGCCUACUACUGACCUUCAACACCGUGAAUGAUUGGGAAAGCUCUCAGCUUUGACCAGGGAAGAACCAGAUCAUAGCAUUCUGCCUUCUGCUGUGACUGCAGAGUCCACAUGAAGACCAAGGUUUGAUUCUCAGCACCUGUGGUUGGAUUUUUCUUUGAGCCACCAGCCAGCUCCUAAAUAAAGACAUGGAGACUUAAAAUGCCUAGGAGCACAGGAAUGCCAGAUGAAGGACAGCGCUGUCUUAAUUUUACUUUGGG